UACGGAGGGUGCAAGCGUUGUCCGGAUUUAUUGGGUUUAAAGGGUGCGUAGGCGGCCCGUUAAGUCAGUGGUGAAAGCCUCCAGCUCAACUGGAGAACUGCCAUUGAUACUGGCGGGCUUGAGUACAGACGAGGUAGGCGGAAUUGAUUGUGUAGCGGUGAAAUGCAUAGAUACAAUCAAGAACACCGAUUGCGUAGGCAGCUUACUAGGCUGUAACUGACGCUGAGGCACGAAAGCGUGGGAGCGAACAGG
rnacentral:rRNA from 1 species